AGAUGAGAGCGGCGAACGGGUGAGUAAUAUAUGGGUAAUUUGCCUCUUUGUUCGGGAUAGCCAUCGGAAACGAUGAUUAAUACCGGAUGUGUUCAGGUGCUGCAUAGCACCCUAUAUAAAGGCGGGGAUCUUCGGACCUGUCGCAAAGAGAUAAGCCCAUAUCCUAUCAGCUUGUUGGUGAGGUAACGGCUCACCAAGGCUUACGGGUAGCUGGUCUGAGAGGAUGAUCAGCCACACUGGAACUGAGACACGGUCCAGACUCCUACGGGAGGCUGCAGUCGAGAAUCAUUGUCAAUGCACGAAAGUGUGAACAUGCGACGCCGCGUGGAGGAAGACGGCCUUCGGGUUGUAAACUCCUGUCAGCAGGGAGGAAGGGCAGCAUUACUAAUAGUGGUGUUGUUUGACAGUACCUGCAGAGGAAGUCACGGCUAACUCUGUG
rnacentral:rRNA from 1 species